rnacentral:rRNA from 1 species
UUAGUGGCGGACGGGUGAGUAACGCGUGGAUAACCUGCCGUAUACAGGGGGAUAACACUUAGAAAUAGGUGCUAAUACCGCAUAAGCGCACGGUUCCGCAUGGAACAGUGUGAAAAACUCCGGUGGUAUACGAUGGAUCCGCGUCUGAUUAGCCAGUUGGCGGGGUGACGGCCCACCAAAGCGACGAUCAGUAGCCGGCCUGAGAGGGUGAACGGCCACAUUGGGACUGAGACACGGCCCAAACUCCUACGGAAGGCAGCAG